GGAAAGAGGGUGCUCCCCUGUGGGUGCGGCAUCUGUCAGCCCACUGAUCGCCAGGGUUCACUUGGCUGCUCUGGCUGGCUGGGCAUGUGUCCCCUUCCUCCCUCACCGCUCCAUGUGCAUCCCUCCUGAAGCUGCUUGCUGGGUCGAAGAGGAAGACGGUCUUCAGUCAAGGGUAUACAAGUAACUGUGCUCCCCGGCUCCCAACAAGCUUUCAAGGUCCAUUUGUAGGAGAACGUAGGGUAGUCAAGCUUCUAAGACUCCAGAUACAUCCAAAUGAGGCGCCAUAUACAUGUGACAGUCUGAUUCUCUUA
rnacentral:snRNA from 1 species